AGAUUGAACGCUGGCGGCAUGCCUUACACAUGCAAGUCGAACGGUAGAGUAGCAAUACUUGAGAGUGGCGAACGGGUGAGUAAUAUAUCGGAACGUGCCCAGUCGUGGGGGAUAACGUAGAGAAAUUUACGCUAAUACCGCAUACGAUCUAAGGAUGAAAGCGGGGGACCGUAAGGCCUCGCGCGAUUGGAGCGGCUGAUAUCAGAUUAGGUUGUUGGUGAGGUAAAAGCUCACCAAGCCGACGAUCUGUAGCUGGUUUGAGAGAACGACCAGCCACACUGGGACUGAGACACGGCCCAGACUCCUACGGGAGGCAGCAGUGGGAAUUUGGACAAUGGGCGAAAGCCUGAUCCAGCAAUGCCGCGUGCAGGAAGAAGGCCUUCGGGUUGUAAACUGCUUUUGUACGGACGAAACGGUCUGCUUUAAUACAGUGGCUAAUGACGGUACCGUAAGAAUAAGCACCGGCUAACUACGUGCCAGUAGCCGC
rnacentral:rRNA from 1 species